rnacentral:rRNA from 1 species
GAACGAGAAUGUAGGCUUCGGUCUACUAGUAAAGUGGCAGACGGGUGCGUAACACGUGGGUAAUCUACCUUCCGGCGGGGGACAACAGUCCGAAAGGAUUGCUAAUACCGCAUACGUCAGCGGCGCCUACGGGCGCUGUUGGGAAAGAUGGCCUCUCCUUGGAAGCUAUCACCGGAAGAUGAGCCCGCGUCCCAUCAGCUAGUUGGUGAGGUAACGGCUCACCAAGGCUUAGACGGGUAGCUGGUAUGAGAGGAUGAUCAGCCACACUGGGACUGCGACACGGCCCAGACUCCUACGGGAGGCAGCAGUGGGGAAUAUUGGGCAAUGGGCGAAAGCCUGACCCAGCCACGCCGCGUGAGUGAUGAAGGCCUUCGGGUAGUAAAGCUAUGUGGGGAGGGACGAACAAGCCUGGGGCUAAUCACNCCGGGACCUGACGGUACCUCCUUAGCAAGCACCGGCUAACCCUGUG